rnacentral:snoRNA from 1 species
CGUCUGUGAUGAUAAAUCCAAAUGCUUGUUUCUCAAAACAUUCGCAGUGGCCGCCUAAGAGCUUUCGCCUUCAUCAGGCUUGAGAGCUUAUGCUGCUUCUAUCCUUCCUUGAUGACUGAGACA